AUGAAUCCGAUACAUUUAAAAACCAAAAAAAAAAACGUUAGGGGUCAUAAUAACCCUUAUUCUUUACAUUUGAAUAAUGAAAAAAUAAAAUAUAUAGAUAUAAUAAGUUAUUAUAUGUAUUUAUUAUCACCUUUUAAUAAAUUUCAUGAUUUAAAUAAAAAAGAAAGUGUAGAAAAUGGAGAACAAUUAAAUACGAUAAGAGAAAAGUUGGAUAAUAUUUUAUUAAAAUAUGAUGAUAUUAUUACUGAUAUAAUUGAAAAAAAUAAUAUAAAAGAAGUAACAGAAAAGUUAUUUUCAAAUGUAGAAAACGGUACGGAUAUAAAUAAUAUGGAUAAUAGUCAAAUAAGUAAUAAUAAAAAUAUGAGCAGUAAUAACAGCAUAAAACAAAAUACAUAUCACAAUAAUUAUAAUUUAAAUUUUGAUAAAAUAAAUAAUCCCGUCAAUGGUCUAAUUUUAAAAAAUGAAGACCUUCUCAUAAAUGGAAAUAGUACUACCCGAUUGGAACGAAUUUAUGAAAAUAAUAAAAACCAGAAUCAGAACCUGGCACAGAGCCAGAAUCAGAAUCAGAAUCAGAAUCAGAAUCAGAAUCAGAACCAUAAUCAGAUACAGAUACAGAAUCAUAACCAUGAUCAGAUACAGAAUAAGAACCAGAAUAAGAAUCAGAAUCAGAAUCAGAAUCAGAAUCAGAAUCAGAAUCAGAAUCAGAAUCAGAAUCAGAAUCAGAAUCAGAAUCAUAAUCAGAUACAGAAUCAGAACCAUAAUCAGAUACAGAAUCAGAACCAUAAUCAGAUACAGAUACAGAAUCAUAACAAUAAUCAGAUACAGAAUAAGAACCAGAAUAAGAACCAGAACCAGAACCAGAACCAGAAUCAGAAUCAGAAUCAGAACCAGAAUCAGAAUCAUAAUCGAAAUGAUUAUAAAAAUAAUGAUUUAGAAUAUGGUCACUGUUUAGAUGAGUUAAAAGAUUCUUUAACAAAUAUUAGAGUCAUUGGCUCACAUAAUGACUCUAAUGGUAGCACACCUUUUUUUAACAAUUCUACACAUCCAUACACAGAAAAAAAUAUUUUAUACUACAAUAAUAGUUACCAAAACAAUAAUAAUUUAAAAUUUAAACAUAAUUAUUUACUUAAUAAUGAAUUGAAUGAUAAUUAUUAUUUAUAUAAUAUAUUACCAUAUAAAUAUUUAAAUGAUGAUAAAACUAAAUAUAUUUAUAAUAAAGAUAAAAAUAAUAACAGUAUAAUAACAUGUGAUAACAGAGAUGAUAAUAAAAAUUUGAUUUGUGAAAAUAUAUCAAGUGGUAGAUAUAUAAAUGAUCGAAAUAUAAAUGAUCGAUUUAUAAAUGAUCGAUAUACAGAAUGUAAUGGUACACAUAAUUUAAUAUGUGAGAAUAACUCUUUAAAAAGAACAAACACAAAUAAUAAUAUUAUUUUUUAUAUAAAUAAUAAAAAUAAUGUUGAAAAUGAUUCUACUUACCUUAUUUUAAAUAAUACAGAUAUAACACAAAAAAAAAAAUAUAAUACUAAUACACUUUUUACUAAUUACAAAGAAACGUUUAAUGACACAAAUAGAAUAAACGAUUUUAGUGAUAAUAACAAUGUAUUAUUUUAUACAAAUAAUGAAAUGAUGAAUAACAUACGUAUGUAUGAGCCUAUUAUUUUAAAUAGAAAAAAUAUGGAUAAACAAAAAGAAACAUAUACACACAUAGAUGAAUCUUUUAAUCAAGUAUCUUAUUUAAAUAAUAAUAAUAAUUUAAUACAAAUUGAUAAACAACGAAUGAAUUAUGAAAUACCAUGUGAAAAUAAUAAACAUAUCGAAAAAAAACACUCUUUUUUAAAUAGUAGUAUUACAACAGAACAUAUGAAUAAUAUUGGAUGUAGUAAUAAUAUGUUUAAUAAUAACAAUGAAAUAUUCAAUAAUAACGGUGAAGGUUAUAAAAAAGGAGAAACAACUGGCGGUAGUUGUGGUGAUGGUAAUGAUGAUAAUGGUAGUGGUGGUGGUAGUGGUAAUGGUAAUGGUAAUGAUAGUGG
rnacentral:lncRNA from 1 species